UACGUAGGGUGCAAGCGUUAAUCGGAAUUACUGGGCGUAAAGCGUGCGCAGGCGGUUUUGUAAGUCUGUCGUGAAAUCCCCGGGCUCAACCUGGGAAUUGCGAUGGAGACUGCAAGGCUAGAAUCUGGCAGAGGGGGGUAGAAUUCCACGUGUAGCAGUGAAAUGCGUAGAGAUGUGGAGGAACACCGAUGGCGAAGGCAGCCCCCUGGGUCAAGAUUGACGCUCAUGGCAGGAAAGCGGUGGGGAGCAAACAGG
rnacentral:rRNA from 1 species